AUAAACAUAAAUUUAAACAAACCCCUAAAAUUAAUAAUAAACACAAAAACCCAACAUCCUACAAACCACAAAAUCCCAAAAAAUCAAACACAACUAAACCACUAAACUAAACUAAACAUACAAUCAUUUCUCCAAAUAUUUUAAUUACCCGAAUUUCUAUCCUAUACUAAACUAAAUAACAACAAUAUACUAAAAAACUAAAUCAUUUCCAAAUAAAUUAAAAUUCUAAAACAUUCACACCUUAAAAAAACCUCCCUUUUACACAAAAACAAAAAAAAUUUUUAACUAUCCAAUAAAAAUAUCUAACACCAUCCUAACAUAUAAAACGUAAAAAAACAAUUUUUUUUUAUUUUAUUUAA
rnacentral:misc_RNA from 1 species